rnacentral:tRNA from 1 species
GUGGCUAUGGUGUAAUGGUAACACGUGGGGUUGUGGUCCCCUUGAUAUGGGUUCAAUUCCCGUUAGCCACC